UACGUAGGGUGCAAGCGUUGUCCGGAAUUAUUGGGCGUAAAGAGCUCGUAGGCGGUCUGUCGCGUCGGCUGUGAAAACUCGGGGCUCAACUCCGAGCUUGCAGUCGAUACGGGCAGGCUAGAGUUCGGCAGGGGAGACUGGAAUUCCUGGUGUAGCGGUGAAAUGCGCAGAUAUCAGGAGGAACACCGGUGGCGAAGGCGGUUCUCUGGGCCUGUACUGACGCUGAGGAGCGAAAGCGUGGGGAGCGAACAGG
rnacentral:rRNA from 1 species